rnacentral:rRNA from 1 species
GACGGAACGCGUGGACGGCGUGCCUAAUACAUGCAAGUCGAGCGGACCGAAGGGAGCUUGCUCCUUUAGGUUAGCGGCGGACGGGUGAGUAACACGUGGGCAACCUGCCCUGCAGACUGGGAUAACUUCGGGAAACCGGAGCUAAUACCGGAUAACACCGAAAACCGCAUGGUUUUCGGUUGAAAGGCGACUUUUAGCUGUCACUGCAGGAUGGGCCCGCGGCGCAUUAGCUAGUUGGUGAGGUAACGGCUCACCAAGGCGACGAUGCGUAGCCGACCUGAGAGGGUGACCGGCCACACUGGGACUGAGACACGGCCCAG